AUACCCCCACCAAACCCUCAGCCUGGUCCCUAUGACAAUCCAUUGUAUGGUGCUAGCUCUGGCCUGAUUAAAACUGGGUUAGGAGUAUAUGGGGAGAAGUUCCCCGGCUCCAGUUCAGAAUUCAUGCACAGCAAUAUCAGUAGAUACUUCUCCAACCCAUAGUACUACUUCCAUGUGAAUGAUCAGUAUGUCAGGAACAAGUUGAAAGUCAUAUUGUUUCCGUUCCUUCACACGGGGCACUGGACUCGGAUAAGUUAGCUUGUGGGUGGCCGGCUGUCCUACAAACCUCCGAUGUACGACAUAAAUGCGCCAGAUCUGUACAUCCCUUUCAUGGCGUUUGGUACCUUCAUUAUUAUUGCAGGUUUCACACUGGGCUUCAUGGGAAAUUUCACUCCAGAAGCCAUAAACCUUCAGUUCACAAGAGGACUGAUCAGAUGGGGCCUACAAAUCAUCGCCUAG
rnacentral:rRNA from 1 species